AACGAACGCUGGCGGCAUGCCUAACACAUGCAAGUCGAACGAGACCUUCGGGUCUAGUGGCGCACGGGUGCGUAACGCGUGGGAACCUGCCCUUAGGUUCGGAAUAACUCCCCGAAAGGGGUGCUAAUACCGGAUAAUGUCUUCGGACCAAAGAUUUAUCGCCUUUGGAUGGGCCCGCGUUGGAUUAGCUAGUUGGUAGGGUAAAAGCCUACCAAGGCGACGAUCCAUAGCUGGUCUGAGAGGACGAUCAGCCACACUAAGACUGAGACACGGCCCAGACUCCUACGGGAGGCAGCAGUGGGGAAUAUUGGACAAUGGGCGAAAGCCUGAUCCAGCAAUGCCGCGUGAGUGAUGAAGGCCUUAGGGUUGUAAAGCUCUUUUACCCGGGAUGAUAAUGACAGUACCGGGAGAAUAAGCUCCGGCUAACUCCGUG
rnacentral:rRNA from 1 species